AUACAGAGGGUGCGAGCGUUAAUCGGAAUUACUGGGCGUAAAGCGCACGUAGGCGGCUUGGUAUGUCGGGUGUGAAAUCCCCGGGCUCAACCUGGGAACUGCAUCCGAAACUGCCUUGCUCGAGUAUGGGAGAGGGAAGUGGGAUUUCCGGUGUAGCGGUGAAAUGCGUAGAUAUCGGAAGGAACAUCAGUGGCGAAGGCGACUUCCUGGACCAAUACUGACGCUCAGGUGCGAAAGCGUGGGGAGCAAACAGGAUUAGAUACCCUGGUAGUCCACGCCCUAAACGAUGAGAACUGGAUGUCGGGAGGGUCUGCCUUCCGGUGUCGUAGCUAACGCGUUAAGUUCUCCGCCUGGGAAGUACGGCCGCAAGGUUGAA
rnacentral:rRNA from 1 species